rnacentral:rRNA from 1 species
UUAGCGGCGGACGGGNUGAGNUAACACGNUGGGAUAACCAUGCCAUGUAAGACUGGGAUAACUCCGGGAAACCGGGGCUAAUACCGGAUGGUUGUUUGAACCGCAUGGUUCAAACAUAAAAGGUGGCUUCGGCUACCACUUACAGAUGGACCCGCGGCGCAUUAGCUAGUUGGUGAGGUAACGGCUCACCAAGGCAACGAUGCGUAGCCGACCUGAGAGGGUGAUCGGCCACACUGGGACUGAGACACGGCCCAGACUCCUACGGGAGGCAGCAGUAGGGAAUCUUCCGCAAUGGACGAAAGUCUGACGGAGCAACGCCGCGUGAGUGAUGAAGGUUUUCGGAUCGUAAAGCUCUGUUGUUAGGGAAGAACAAGUACCGUUCGAAUAGGGCGGUACCUUGACGGUACCUAACCAGAAAGCCACGGCUAACUACGUGCCAGCAGCCGCGGUAAUACGUAGGUGGCAAGCGUUGUCCGGAAUUAUUGGGCGUAAAGGGCUCGCAGGCGGUUUCUUAAGUCUGAUGUGAAAGCCCCCGGCUCAACCGGGGAGGGUCAUUGGAAACUGGGGAACUUGAGUGCAGAAGAGGAGAGUGGAAUUCCACGUGUAGCGGUGAAAUGCGUAGAGAUGUGGAGGAACACCAGUGGCGAAGGCGACUCUCUGGUCUGUAACUGACGCUGANGAGCGAAAGCGUGGGGAGCGAACAGGAUUAGAUA